rnacentral:rRNA from 1 species
AAUAUUGGACAAUGGGGGCAACCCUGAUCCAGCCAUGCCGCGUUUUUUAAUAAGAUCUUCUGAUUGUAAAGCACUUUAAGUUGGGAGGAAGGGCUUUAGGUUAAUACCCUGAAGUUUUGACGUUACCGACAGAAUAAGCACCGGCUAACUUCGUGCCAGCAGCCGCGGUAAUACGAAGGGUGCAAGCGUUAAUCGGAAUUACUGGGCGUAAAGCGCGCGUAGGUGGUUUGUUAAGUUGGAAGUGAAAGCCCUGGGCUCAACCUGGGAACUGCUUUCAAAACUGCUGAGCUAGAGUACGGUAGAGGGUAGUGGAAUUUCCUGUGUAGCGGCGAAAUGCGUAGAUAUAGGAAGGAACACCAGUGGCGAAGGCGACUACCUGGACUGAUACUGACACUGAGGUGCGAAAGCGUGGGGAGCAAAC